rnacentral:sRNA from 1 species
UCAUUCAAAAAGCGCAAGCGUCUCGCCU